CAGUAGCCGCGGGAAUACGUAGGGUGCAAGCGUUAAUCGGAAUUACUGGGCGUAAAGCGUGCGCAGGCGGUUAUAUAAGACAGAUGUGAAAUCCCCGGGCUCAACCUGGGAACUGCAUUUGUGACUGUAUAGCUAGAGUACGGCAGAGGGGGAUGGAAUUCCGCGUGUAGCAGUGAAAUGCGUAGAUAUGCGGAGGAACACCGAUGGCGAAGGCAAUCCCCUGGGCCUGUACUGACGCUCAUGCACGAAAGCGUGGGGAGCAAACAGGAUUAGAUACCCCUGUAGUCCCUGUCUCUUAUAC
rnacentral:rRNA from 1 species